rnacentral:tRNA from 1 species
GAAUCCAUGGCCAAGCUGGUUAAGACGUGCGAUUGUUAAUCACAUGAUCGUGAGUUCAAUCCUCACUGGAACA